rnacentral:rRNA from 1 species
CUAGCGAGAUGCUUUACACAUGCAAGUCGUACGGGAGUUUUUAACUCUAGUGGCGGACGGGUGAGUAACACGUAAGAAUUUGCCUUUAGGAGGGGGAUAACAUCGUCAGAAAUGAUUCGAGAAAUUGAUGCUAAUACCCCAUAUGCUUUCGAGUGAAAUGGAGUUUUCCGCCUAAAGAGAAGCUUGCGGCUGAUUAGCUUGUUGGUGAGGUAAUGGCUUACCAAGGCGACGAUCAGUAUCUGGUUUGAGAGGAUGAUCAGACACACUGGAACUGAGACACGGUCCAGACUCCUACGGGAGGCAGCAGUGGGGAAUUUUCCGCAAUGGGCGAAAGCCUGACGGAGCAAUCUCGCGUGAGGGAUGACUGCCUAUGGGUUGUAAACCUCUUUUUUCAGGGAGGAAUAAAUGACGUUACCUGAAGAAUAAGCAUCGGCU